rnacentral:lncRNA from 1 species
AUGGCUGGGCCAGGGGCAGCUUUCCACCGGCGUGGGUGCCUCGUCCAGAGCUGGGGCCCUUGGCUUGGCUUCCUAUCGGGUACAUGACACCCAAUUCCCAGAUGCCUCUGGGAAGGAGCUCUUUGACAAGGCCAACAAGUACCACUUCUUACACAGUCUGGCCCUGUUAGGGGUGCCCUCUUGCAGAAAGCCCCUUUGGGCCAGGUUACUGCUAGCCUCUGGAAUGACCUUAUUCUUCACCAGCUUUUACUACCAGGCUUGGGGUGGAGACCCCAGCAUCCAGACUUUGGCCCCUGUGGGAGGGAGCCUGCUACUCUUGGGCUGGCUUUCUUUGGCUCUU